rnacentral:rRNA from 1 species
ACUCAAAGGAAUUGACGGGGACCCGCACAAGCGGUGGAGCAUGUGGUUUAAUUCGACGCAACGCGAAGAACCUUACCAAGGCAUGACAUACCACGGAUAUCAAUAGAGAUAUUGAGUUCCUUCGGGACUGUGGAUACAGGUGGUGCAUGGUUGUCGUCAGCUCGUGUCGUGAGAUGUUGGGUUAAGUCCCGCAACGAGCGCAACCCCUACGUUCAGUAGCCAUCAGGAAAAGCUGGGCACACUGGACGGACUGCCGUGGAUAACACGGAGGAAGGUGGGGAUGAGGUCAAAUCAUCAUGCCCCUUAAGUCUUGGGCUACACACGUGCUACAAUGGCAGUAACAGAGUGAAGCGAGCAUGCGAAUGUAAGCAAAACACAAAAAAGCUGCCUCAGUUCGGAUAGCAGUCUGCAACCCGACUGCUUGAAGUCGGAAUCGCUAGUAAUCGCGAAUCAGCAUGUCGCGGUGAAUACGUUCCCGGGUCUUGUACACACCGCCCGU